ensembl:lncRNA
GGAGAGAGAGAUGGACUACAAACUGGGACAGGUAGGAUGGAGAGAGAGAUGGACUACAAACUGGGACAGGUAGGAUGGAAGGAGAGAGAGAUGGGGAACAUGGACUACAAACUGGGACAGGUAGGAUGGAGAGAGAGAUGGACUACAAACUGGGACAGGUAGGAUGGAAGGAGAGAGAGAUGGGCAACAUGGACUACAAACUGGGACAGGUAGGAUGGAGGGAUGGAAGGAGAGAGAGAUGGACUACAAACUGGGACAGGUAGGAUGGAGGGAUGGAAGGAGAGAGGGGGCGGAGGAAAGGGAAGACAGACCAAAUGGCAUAGUUGUGUCCUUCUCUUGCAGAUAUGUUCAGUCUCUCUCUCUCUCUCUCUAAUUCCUCUCCUUUAUUGUCUCUCUCUCUCUAAUUCCUCUCCUUUAUUGUCUCUCUCUCUAAUUCCUCUCCUUUAUUGUCUCUCUCUCUAAUUCCUCUCCUUUAUUGUCUCUCUCUCUCUCUAAUUCCUCUCCUUUAUU